ACAUGGCAAAUGAGGAAUCGAUGUUUAAUGGGUAAUUUGCGUCUGAAUAUUUUAUUGAUGCUUUCACCUUGGAUAUCUGAUGCCUAUC